AAAGAGGUUUGCAUGUGCAGGGAAUGUAGUUAAAAUUGGCCCUAAAAUGUAGGCAGUUUGGUGUCAUUAUUUACUUUUUUCUUUUCAAAUAAGUUUGCUGAAAGUUGUGUGACUUUAAUGAGUUCUGCGCUCAGCAAUUAUAUAUAAUAUAAUUUUACAACUUCUAAAAAAAUAAAAUGCCCAAAGCAAUGUCAUCAUGCCACUAAACAAUUGUACUUUACUUUAAUCCUCAAUGGGACCCCAUUAGGACCCUUUAUAUUUUCUAGAAAUAGACUGUUAUUAAAAGUUUUGUUUGUUUCCUUCUUGUAUGACAGAUUUUUUAAACUUAAAGCAUUAUUAUUAUCCAGCAUUUUUAUGCAAAGAAAUUACAUUUAUUCAGACGGUCCUUGUCUGCCAGUUCUGAUUAAUUCAUUUUGAAACUUUAGGCAUGUUCAGAGUAAAUUAUGUAUUAGAGUAUGCUACUACCAUUUAAACAUCAAAAUGUACAUGACAAAUCUGCAAUACUUACAAUGAAGUCAUCAUGGUCAGAGUGCUUUAGGUACGUUCUUAUGUUUAAAAUAAAAAAUGUAUAAUAAUUAAAACAUUCAAAAUAGUUUCUGCAGCGGUAAAUCUUGUACUCUAUGUCCAUCAGCUCGCUGGCUCACAUUACAAAGUAUUGAUUAGAAGUGGAAAACUGUAACAAAAUCAAAGCCAAUCAAAGACAUGUUUCAUUUUCACUAAUGGGCAAGAAAUCCUCAAAAAAAAAAAAAAAAAAAAACAUGAAGAAGAAGCUGUAGGAGAGCAAGGCUAAUUAACGGUAGGAACAUCACAUUACAAACAUAUCAGCAGCCUCUUGAAGGUAAAGGUGUUCUCAGGACACUUAUUGCACACAAACUUACUCAUAAAUAACUUCUAUCGCACACCAGAAUAUAGGUCAGUUUCUCCCUUCUUCAGUUUGGUUUAGGCUGUCAGUGUUCAGUGAGUGGGCAGGAUAAAGACCAUUUAAAUUCCUGAUCCAUCUGCAUCAAACAUUUCCUUUCUCACGUUCACCUUUGCUGGUGAAAACUCCUCUAGAAUAAUAAGAACAGUGCAGACGUGGAAUGUGUACAGUAGAACCCAUGACACUGUAAAGCACAGAUAGUUGCCUUAUCUUUCUGCCUCUUUAUCUCUCAUCCUCCACCUUGUUUCUACUAUUUUCCUCUUCUCUUCCUGUAGACCUGAAUCUACAAAUAAUUUCCAAAAGGUGUAAAGUCCAGCACCAUCACCAUCCCCCACUGGGCUUUUACUGGAGUCGCUUGCCACGUCCUGCACCACCAAGUCCAGAAUCUCCAUCUCUGUGGAGCAAACCCUCCACAGAGAUGGAGUGUGAUUACUCUUUCUUCCUAUGUUUUGAUAGAAAAAAUUACAAUACAAAAACAGAGAGGUGGAGAUCACAUGAGAAUGGGAUAUGAAGGGGAUUUCACAGCUCAGUAAGUUUGAACAGUUUGUUUACAAUUCCCUUUAUAGCAAGUCCCUUGGGAGGAGGUGUAAGCAUAAACAGUGAUACAUUUUCUCAGAGAUUUUGCAGAUUAGUUAGGAGUUCGUCCACUCAGGAGAAAAAA
ensembl:lncRNA